rnacentral:lncRNA from 1 species
AGCUUCUUCUUCUUCGCGCGUGGCCGGUGUGUUCUUCAACGGCGAUAGCGGUUUCGAGCAAAUGGCGAUGGAAACGAGCGAUCUACAUACCGGUCGAACCGGUUUUCCACCAGGAUUACAAAUAUGGAAUCGAUUUCAACUAUAGAUUACUAUACAGAUCGAAUCGAAGGAAAAAGAAAAUCGCGACAAAACCUAAAUCGACAAUAAUUCAACCAAUUUCCAGCAAUUCUACAAUCCAAGACUUGUUAUAUAAUCUACAAAGCGUAAUCUACAAUAUCCAUGAUAUCUUGAAAAGUCCGAUUCCGCCAACCUUUACUGAUGACGGGCAAAUGGAGUUCGGCUUCGAUUUCGCGCGAACAGCUGCAGCAAUUAGUUGUAGAAGGUGCGUGGAGUGACUCUUGAAGCUCGAAAGUGCUUGGAUUAUCAAGAAUCGCCGACUGUUAUGGUGGAAGCAGGUUUUUGCCACAGCUCGAUUCCGCUACCGUUUCGCUCCAAUCUUGAUCAACAGAGAUUCAUCAUUACCUGCAGAUUUUGAAUUAACAGAGAAAGCAACACGAAAUUGAUAAUCUCUUGGUGAAAGAAUCCAAAAAUCUUGUGAAAGCCUUGAGCAAAAAAUUGAGAUCGGAGAAUUGGUUUUUUUUUCUGUUGUGGUGAAAACGAUUGUAGAAAGAAAAUGUGAUUAUGAGAAUUUGUGAUUUGCAGAAAAAUGAUUAUCAUCCUCCAAAUUCUGUUAGAGUUAGUUUAUAUAUUGUACUUAAUCCAAACUUAAUUAUAAUUAAGCAAGAGAAAUGAGAUUAGUGAAAAAAUGGUUUAUAUGCAUUUUGGAUUUAAGCUCUUUUUGAUUUUAGAAGCAUGACAGCAG